UGUAAUUAUGAUGUAGUCAUGCAGAUAAAGAAAUAUUGUGUAAAGCCAGUUUGGAAUGAAAAACAAGAGCAAAAGACAACUGGAAGAAAAACGGUAGUAGAUAUUCGAUAAGACUUGUUGCCAGUAAUGUAAGUAGCAGGCAGGAGGUCAAAAUACGAACAACAUGUGUUACACUUGACAGGUCGUGGCUGCUUAAAGAGCAGAUGUACUCUAAGCUGUGAUGGAGACUGACUGACUCACUCAAGCUACACAUGUAGGAAACGUCCUCCCGAUCAAGUGUUUAGAGAGCAGAGAUAAGCUUUGGAGAACUGCCACGUGUUGUUUACAAGGAUAUGAGGGCACAACUUUACAUCCUUAGUGUUUAAUUGACAGUUUGGACAUACACCAAGCCGUGCACCACCAAGCCGUGCACACCAACACGCCUGACGAGACAGAAUGGGAUCAUCAGUGCUUUCGACGGCAUACAAAUAUAAGUUGGUAGCGAAGGAGACUUUUUGUAGCCGGCCAUCUUCUUUCGGACGACCUUCUCGAAACUCCUCGUUCUGCG